UAAUGAUGGUGAGGGCAAUUUCUGAGCAUACCUUUAAAUCUAUCCCAAGCUUGGUAGAGAUUCUCUCAUUCUUUCUGUCUGAAAAUCAGAAUCUCACUUCUCAAAUG
rnacentral:snoRNA from 1 species